rnacentral:tRNA from 1 species
GCCCGAGUGGCGGAAUUGGUAGACGCGCGUGAUUCAGGGUCACGUGGCCCUUGCGGCCGUGGAGGUUCGAGUCCUCUCUCGGGCACCA